rnacentral:rRNA from 1 species
UACGAAGGGGGCUAGCGUUGCUCGGAAUCACUGGGCGUAAAGGGCGCGUAGGCGGCCAUUUAAGUCGGGGGUGAAAGCCUGUGGCUCAACCACAGAAUUGCCUUCGAUACUGGAUGGCUUGAGUUCGGUAGAGGUUGGUGGAACUGCGAGUGUAGAGGUGAAAUUCGUAGAUAUUCGCAAGAACACCAGUGGCGAAGGCGGCUCACUGGUCCGGUUCUGACGCUGAGGCGCGAAAGCGUGGGGAGCAAACAGG